rnacentral:lncRNA from 1 species
CCGGAAUCAACGAGAGAGCGUCGGCCAUGGCAACACCCAACAAGCUGGAAACUAUUUGAUUGUCGAAAAGAAAUUAACUUUACGAAUCAAAUUCGUUUUCGGAUCUUUUCCUGCUCGAAACGAAACAUUUUGGUGUUUUCUUCUUCCAGGUUUUCCCCCCACUCUCUUAUUUUCUUUUUGGGGAUCACAAACAAAAUCCGAAAUUCAAUUUUCUUUUUUCGGGAUAACGAGUGACGUGGAAAGCGACUUCGAUUGGAAAAUUUGGAAUUCGGAUCGAUCAGAUCCGAAUAAAAUUCGCGAAUUGAAACCAGAAAGCGAAGUUGAAAUUGAAAUUGAAUUGAAACCUAAUUUUAUUUUCCCCCAUUUUUUUUAUAGUUGAAAUGGAAAGUUUUGUCGAGUUUUUAAGAUUCGUGUAAUAAUAAUAAUAAUAAUUAAAACCGGUAAAUUUUAGAGAGUGACAACAUUUUAAUUUGUUUGUUAUACUAUUUUACGAGUACCCACUGAAGCUGAGGUUGAAAGUUGAAAGAGACUGAGGAAGUUACAUAAACGUCCCCUAUUUGUUACAUUUGUCAUGAUCGAAGGUAUUUUUGGAAAGAAACACAAUAAAUCCAACUUUAUUUAUUGUAAUUAAUAUUUUGCUAUUUAUUAAGUUUUGUGUCGAUUAAUUUCGGUAAUAUAUCUUUGGUUAAAAUUUAAUCUUCAUAUUCCUUUUUUUUAAUUUGUGAUUUUAGUUUUUCUAUUUUUUAAUUAAGAUAUUUUUCUUUUAUUUUUUAAAAAUUUCUAAUCUUAAUUUCCUUAUUUUUUUAAUUAAAAUAUUUUCUAUUUUAUUUUAAAAAAUUAGUAAUUAUAGUCCUUUUAAUCAAUUUUAAACUUGCUAAUUGUGUAUUUUUUUAAUAAAUUAAACUUAUUAGUCAUUAAAUAAUUACAAAUAUAUUUGUCAUGUUAUAAUAAACAAAUAUUUAUCAGCACAAAAUAAUUAAUGUUCGAAAUUGACCAUACAUAAUUAUUUUAAAAGUAGGAUGAAAUAUUUUAAUAAAAAAUAAGAAAUUAAAAUCAUGAAUUUUUUUAAAUGAAAAAUAAAAUAUCUUAAUUAAAAAAUAGAGAGAAUAAAAACAUAAAUUAAAAAAAAUAGCAAAACAAAACUUGCAUUUUAUUCUUUCUCUUUUUAUCCGUAGAAGAUAGUUUCCUGAUCAUCAUCUGCUAUUUUUACUUCUACGCUGACUAGAGAAAUCAACUGGCUUUUUUUUUUUAAUAAUUUUAUUUAUUUAGUUAAAAUAAAAGAUAAUAUUAUCAUUUUUCAAAUGAAAACAUGCCCAAACCAACAAUAUUAUUUUAGUCGAAAUUACAUCUUCUUUAUUACUUAAAGUAAUAUACACCAAACAUAAAAUUUUAGAUGAAUAUUUAUUUUCAUCAUUAAAUGUCAAUGACACUUUAUUCCCUUAAAGAUAAAAAAAAAAAACAAAUUUAAUCAUUGUCUUUAUAUCUCAUGUAUUAUUUGUUCUUAAGGUGCGUGUGUGGCUGUAAAACUUCUCUAGUUGGCCCUGACACUGAAACUCUCUCUGUCACUUCCCAUUCCCAAACGAUGCCGUACCCGUGGUUAAGCUUAACCCCUAACUCCUCCACACGCGUGAGGAUCGCCGCUAGAGGCAGAGGAUCCGACGGCAAUCCGCACCUUUGUGGGUGUAUGCGGUUUCAGUUUCAGUUUCAGUGAGAGUGAAAGAGUUAAAAGCUGCUGGGAAAGCUUCUUGAAAAGAUGAAUGUUCCUGGUUUGACAAGAGAAAAUGUUGCUAGUUAUUUGCAGGUUCAAUUUUAUGUGUAUUUAAUCUUGAAUACUUGCAAUAUUUGGUAACAAAGAUCGUUGAAUUUGAUUAAUGAUUAAUAUUUUUUAUUUUUUCCUAUAAAUUAAGUGAACCCACCACCAACAAUUUAGCCAGGGGACCUAAAUCUAAAAUUUAGAAUUAAUUCUAAGUUUUCACAGUCAACUAAUUGAAACUUGAAAGCAAGUGCAGUGUAGAAGCUUCAUAUGAAUUAACUAGCUGUAAUACUGGUGAGUUGCACAAGUUUAUUUUUUUGUUACAUCUGAGAAAAAAAAGGCAGCACAAAAAACUAACUAGAACCUCCUGGAAGCAAAGUCCCUUAUCAAAUGCAUUUAAAAAAAUAGUCCCUGUUAAAUAUUUUUCAGAGAGACUAAUACAAGAUAAACAAAAAUUUAUUAGAAAUUUAAAAUAAAAUAUCAAUGACCAAAAAUAUAUUUUAUUAGGAACUCGAUGUAAGAUAUAUUUUAGGAUUGUAAGUCAAAAUUUUCUAAUUUAUUUGGAACCGAAAAUAUAUUUAACUCUUAUUUUUAUUAACACUAACAUGCUGAUGAUUAAUUUUCCAUAAGAUUAUCAUUAUAAAAGAAAACAUAAAUAUUAUAGUUUAUUAAAAUAACUUAUCAAAUAUUUUAUUAUAAAUUAUAUAUUUUAUAUUUAUUAACAGUUAAAAAGGAUAAAAAUGAAAAAUAAUUAACCUAAAUCUAUGAUCAUUAAACAUUUUUUUAAGAAGUCAAAUUGAAUUUCAUUCAAGAUUAAAUUUUUUUUAGGGGAAUUCAAUAUCAAACUAAAAAUAAGAUUGUGAGAUUGAAUUACAUGUUUAGUUUGAAUAUAAUCAUAAAAAUGAGUUUGAAUAUAAUCAUAAAAAUGAGUCUAACGUAAAAUAUGAAUAAUUUAAAUAAGAUAAUAACAUACGCAUAAUAAAUUUGUCUCAUUCUCUUAAAUUAUGUGAAAAUCACUGGCUAAUUAGGAAAGAAAGGUUUUCACUCUCAAAAAUACACUGAAACGCUCUGGUUUGAAUUUAGUUAAGGGAAAGGGGGGAAAAACGGAUAUGCCCUAUAUAGACCCUCUUAAUGUUAGACGCAUCACUAUAUCAACCAUUAAUAAUAUGGACUCCGGUGUAUUUUGUUGUUAUGAAACAUUUAAACGUUCUUCAAAAUUGAAAUGAAAAUAAUGCUUAAAAGCAACCCAUAUGAAGUGAAUCCUCACGCCAAUAGACUGCUAGGGUGUUGCUAAGUGCAUGCACUCAAUACUUAAGGUGAAAUGACGAAAAUACUCUUAAUUAAGUCAUUUAAGUUAAUCCGUAAAAGACUUACGAAUCAACUUGAUCCGUAAGCCUUUUACAGAUCAACUUGAUCUGUAGAAGCCUUACUUGAUCCGUAAGUCUUUUACAAAUUAAGUUGAUCCGUAUGCUUAAUAUCAACAUACGAAUCAACUAGAUCCGUAUCAACCUUACGGAUCAACUUGAUCUGUACGAUUUACGGACCACCCUCACACACACCCAUCACAAAUGAAAAAAAGCGCAAGGAAAAUUUUAGUAUUUAAAAAAAAUGCUGGAUGCACCUAGCAACACCCGAUUGGUAUCACAAGUUGGCCUAUACAUUUAAAUGAGCAGCCCGCGAGACUUAUUCACAAAAUUAGGCUCUAUAUUUCUAAUUGAUACAUGAGAUCAUAGUAAAAGAAUCACAUUAUCACAUCCAAUAUGGAAAAUUAAAAACUUCUUAUUUGAGAAUAAUUAUAUGACAAGAACAAUUUAUACAACACUAUAUAUAUUGCAACAAACAUCAAAAUCGAUCAAAUGAAUGUUGGCUUAUAAACGAUUCUUCAAGUUCUCUAAAACCUCGGUAGACAUGUUCUGUUUGGUUCUGUGGAAGGGCUAACCUCCGCACUUCAGUCAUAUACCUGUAUGUAAAAAGUCAAUCAGAUCAAAACUUUAACUAGAUAUAAACAAUGCACCUCAAUGGAAGAUGAGAACAGGUGCACAGGUUAAAGAAUGGAAGAUUCGAGAAAUCAGCUAAUACAUGAUGCAUGGGAUCAAGGAACAAAUACAAAAAACUAUACCUCUUUCUAAUUGAAAGAAAUUAUGUCCACAAGAAAUGUCAAAAGGACUAGAUUAAUAAGAUGAAUAGAUGAAGGGAUAAAGAGGUCAACCUGUUUGCUGCACUUGUGAUCUUGUCCCGGAUUCCUUGGCUAGCAAUAGUACGUUCCGUUGAGAAUCCUCCACCUAGUAUUAAGGAAUGCCCAGUGGCACUACUGCUACCCAUUCUUUGUGAAUAUACAGACAUUGCCCACUCUCGAAGUACCACUAGAACCGAUCUCAGCAUACGUAAUCUAACACUUGGGGAUGGCAGAAUAGCCCCAUUUGAUAACAAUUGGUCGUAUGCAUUUAAUACAGGUUCAGCGGCACCCUUACAAGCAGAAACAAGGGCUCUUGCAACAUCUUCAUCUCCAACAGCUUCAACCCCUGAAUUUAACCUCUCCUAUAGAAAGACACAAAUUCAUAUCUAAGAUAAAAGUAAUAAUCGCACCAAAUCCUACCCGCCAGAACUGAAAGGCAUUCUAGAGAGUACAAGGGUAGAAAUAAUAACAUUCAAGUAGCAUCUACAGUAAAAAUCAAUUAGUGAGCCGGAAGAUGUACCAGUCCAGCCUUCUCUAGGUGAAGACAAAUAAUAUCAAGUGGUAAAACAGCUCCAUCACCAGGAUAAAUGCGGGGCCCGACCCUCUUCAGUACCGAGCAAGCUUCAGCAAUACCCCCUCUUGAUAUAGCUUGAUCCAUAAGUCUAGCCCAUGUCUCUCUGACAAUGCUGCUGUCAGUAUCACCAGAAUAAUUGGCAAAGUACAGCAUCUCCAGGCAUAUCUAAAGGAAAAGUAGGAAAUGAAGAACUGUUAACAGGAACUUCGAUAAAGAAAUUUCACAUUAUUAUGACAAUCUUUUCAACAAAAAUACUUCAAAACCACAAUGACAAAAAUAUCCAGCGGUACCAGUAGCAGAUAAUUAGUAAUGCUUUUUUGGCUUGAAAAUAGAGAAAGGAUUUGGCAGGAGAGAAGAGAAAAAAAAGUCACAACUUACCCACAUCUAAUUUUGUAUCAUAGGAAGGAAAAGAAAUCAUAAAUAUAUUUCACAGUUUGGAAUAAAUGGAAGAAAAGGAAGGAGGUUUACAUGAAUGAAUAAAUUUACCAGUUUACAUAACAUAAUUGAUUUGUAGAACUUCCAUAAAACAGGUGGUAAUGGAAUUUUGAAAAUUUAAAUUUAAUAAAAUGAGUAUGAGGACCUCAAAUCCUUCAUUUUCUUUCUUCAAAAAUAAUAAUUUAUCCUUUCUCUUCCCUACUUCAACAAAGUGACAUUUGAAAGCAAAUUGCUCAGAAUAAUUGAUAGAACACCAAUUAAUAGAAUUGAUGAAUACCAUUGUUAAAUCGCACAAAAUACAGACACUACAGCAGUAGUUGCUGUCCCAGAGACAGACUCCUACAGAGAUGAGCUUUCAGUCCAAGCUACAAGGAAUUAACACACAAAUCUCUCUGCUACUUCAUACUACACAUGUAUCUAAUACUAAUAAUAAAUAACUGAUCCUAACUUCAAGAACAUCCAGCAUCACAACUAUUACUACACAAUAUAUAAUAUAGCCAUACAUAACUUCUACCCUAAACAGUUAACAUAAUAGUUACUAUGCCACAUGCCCUAUUCUGGAAUACACUUUAAAGAUGGGCAGUUUCUUCCUUGGGCAACGAUCUAACAAUGGAUCCUUCCUUUCAUGCCCCACCUGAAUCUCAGUUGCCAUCAAUAAUCUAGAUACUAAAGCUCAAAAGACUUUGAUGGAUGCCUAGUAGUUUUCAUUAUCAUGCCUAGAUAGAUAUUCAACCAGUGCAAAACUAACAUAAUGUGAACAAGCAGAAGAGAAAAAUCUAAAGUUGCACAAAUCUAACCAAAAAACAAAACAAAUGAACAGACAAAAAAAAGAAUGAAAGUACCUCCCAGAGCCCAAAGGGAACAGCAUAUUCAUUAUAUAACUGGGUUAUGCUCUUUACAUCUGAAGCUAGCUCUUUAGCCUUCUCUCGUGUUGCAUUUGCAAAAUUAGCAUCAGCAGUAGAACUUCCCUCAGGGACUACACCAUUUUCGGCAGACUCUGAUGUGCCAGGUAAAACAUCAGACCUGGAAGCCAUAGACUCUAGUUCUUCUUUGAUUUUUAUCUGGAACCAAAGAACAGCGAGCUUCCCUUCAAGCAAAUCUAGGAACCCACUGUCAAUGGAAAUUCGACCAGAACCUACUAACCCAUCACUAUUAGUUGCAUUUUUUGCCUGUAGAACUGCAUUACUUAGGUAUUGACACCUGAAAUUUACAAAUUAAAAACUAUUAGAAGAUAUCCAUGCGAGCACAUAAAAACAAAUUUAGCAAUCCUACUUAAUUCUAGAGAACCAUGUAGAGGCCUUAAGUGGAAAAGGAGAUCAACUUGAUACAUGUAAAGUGCAGAGUCUUGCAAGUACAGCCAUGGACACGUUAGUGAAUUUGAGUCAUCACAAGCACAUAAGAAACGGUAGUUGUUUGAGAACAAAUUGUGAAUCAGGAAUCUAUUUCCAUGGUUUGUGUUAGAUCAAGUGUCAGUUUUACCAUUUUUCAGAUGAAAGUAGAACUUAAUAAAUCCACCUAUGAUAUAAGUGGCUACAAAAUUCCACUUAAACCCUGGUUAACAUGAAAGACAUCAUACACGGUGACUUUUCACUCACAACAUCAUCAGAUCAGUUAUGCUGUAAGGGUUCACUAAGUAUCGUUGUCUAUCUCAUCCAGGUUUGCAGAAAUAAAGUAGCAAACUACUCAGAAGGCUAGCAGUUUCAAAGGAAAUGUGAAAAAGGCGAUGAUAAAGACAAGGAAAGAGAGAACUUGAUUAACCUCUGUUCAAGAGUAGGAACUCCAUCAGUAGAACGCCUUUCAGCUAGUCUAAGCAAUGCAUGAGCUGCAAGCAUAUGUUGGCGUUUCAAGACAUAAUACCGUGCCAAAAGUUCAUAGUACUUGACUUGAUUAGAUGACAUAGGUGCUCCUGAUUGCCCCACUGGAGAAGUUGUGGCCGUCACAGCACGAACCUAGCAGAUCCAGAAAAACAAAAGAGGACUAAAUUUACAAAGAAAUAUUAUGAGAAGUAUGGCAGGGUGUAGCAUCUACAUGCAAAACAUAUACAAUCAAAAUUGUAAUACACAAUAUUUGUGCCUUUUGACCUAAUGAACAGCUAUCCAUCAAUUAGUUAUUGGGGAGAAAGAGAUAAUAAACAACCUCGUGUAUAGAAUUACGACCAGCACUUUGCAAAAAUGGCAACAGAUCAGGACCUCCAUACUCUAGCAAUUCAUUCUCAAGACCUAAAUCAAUCAUAGCCUGGUAAAGAUACUCAUGGAAAAUUCUGUCAGGUGAUUGGACACCCAGCUGAACAAUUUGACAUAUAUAUUUUUUCCGAGAGGCUGGAUCAAGAGCAGAUUGUGAAGCAGUUGAUUUAAUAGGAGUCCCAAAUUCCCUCUGUAAGUUGUCACCUUUCAGAGACCGCAAAGCACUGAUAAUUAUUUCAUAACACAGCUCCCGCUGAGCAAGUGCUUGCUCUCUGACAGUUGCAUCAAUAUCAUCAUUAUAAGCAUCGCCUGCAGGGUCAAGAGCCUGUGCCUUUUGUAGAGGUAAGCGCACUACAGCUUCAUAAAACCUACAGUGGGAAAGAGUAUUUGGCUUUCAGAUUGAAGGCUUAAAAUCAUAGGCCAUGAAAAAUAGAUGAUGCUCGUCAUGAAAAUGCAGGAGAGCAAGAAAGGAAAAAAAUAUGUACCUUAAAUCCUCAAAACGUUUGCAAACAGUUCGUAGGUCCACAGACUCUGGAACUUUACUUAAGGAAUUAAAUGCUUCCCUUGCAAGAUUCUCCUUGUCCUCGGCAUCUAUGGUCAUAGCAGAUCUCUCCAGGGCUUCCACGGCUAGGAAGAAUUUGUAAUCAGACUCCUUAUAGUAGCUUGGACAACCAUCUCUCAAUCUCCUACUAAUGUCAUCUACAGUGCCCCUGCCAUCAGGACCAGUAUAAUACUGGAGCAGAGUAUGUUGUUCAGGAAACUAAUUGUUAUAGAAGAUACAAAACUUUAUGUAAGAAAAAGAAAGAAAACUCCAUUAAUGCAUAAACUUUUUGUAGAUGAAAUCUCCUUCAUGGCUUCCUAAACAGGGAUUUACCUCCAUGAGAGCAGAUAUAAGUCUUGUAGCAAGAUGGUCUCCCUCCUCAGAACAAACUAGUUGAUGAAAUGUCAACUGAACUAAUGCUUGUUGAAGGUUAGAAUCAAAUCCCUGAAUCAAUCGAGUCACAUGAUGCUGUGAAAGAAGUUGAAGCAAAAAUAGGGCUUCACCAGAUCUAAGGAGCAACUGCCUAAUGCACUCCAUUGCCCUCACCUGUAGCACAACAAACCCAAGUGAAGAAACUAAACCAAUUACUUACAAAACAUGCCAUGCAAACAUUUAAAAAUGUAGGCCCACCUCCAUGGCAGCUAAUUCAGCAGGACUAUAUGGCAACCUUUGCCGUUUAUUAGUUGUUAUGCCACCAUUGGACUCCAUAUUUCUGGAAUAUGCACCAAAUAAGUUCCUUACCAUAUUUCGAUCCCCAACUCCUAAUGCCGAACCAUUACCAUACAGAAUCGAACCACUCAGAUCUCCUAAACCUGCUACACAGCCAUAAAGUCCCCUCCUCUGGUUCCUUCUAGAUCUUAAGAAUUUCUCCAAAGAUCGGAGUUUCUGUUCAAGGACUUGCAUAGCCCCAACAGAGAGUCUGCACACAACUACUCCAUUUUCAGAUAGAGUGCCUGAAGGGCCUAAACUUCCCUUUACAACCAUUACAGGAAGUUCCCACAGAGGAAAAAGUAAUCUAGACGAACACAGACAGAGCCCUUCAUGUGCACCUGAAAAAACAGGCUCAGCCUCCUGAACAACCUGGCCCAUGCUAAAUCCACCAGCAGCACUUCUUGUGUUUGAUAAUGCAUUACUGCCUUCAAGUUGUGGCAUGCCAACAACUCUUGGGUCCUCAAAAGCUUCAGCUGCCUUCUCAGCAAUAACAUUGCUGAUAAGGUUUUCAGAAUGCACUAUUCUUGCAGCUAGCAUUAGACACAUUGCAGCUGCCUCACCUGCACCAAAACGAUUGAAGAAAUCUUCUAAAACUGAUCGUGGAGAGUUGGAUUCCAAUAGCCGCCUUAUAAUGUCCAGUGGCCUGUUAAAAACAAUUUCCAUCAUGCCCAUGGUGCUGAAGACAACAAUCCUUCUUCUUGGUAGUAUAUGUUGGGUUGCAAGAUCUCCUCUGGCCCAUAGUUUGCCAGACACCCUUUCACAUGAUUCCAUAGAGCUCUCAUAACCACCAAACUCAAUUUCCGAAUAUAGAGAUUGCACAGUAGCUGCGGUAUCUGGCAAAGGUAAAACAUCUGCCACAGAAAGCAUUCGUCCUUCAACUGGUAAGGAAGAUACGGACUCCCUUAAUGCCCGGGAACUCCUCGUACUUGUUCCUAGAUUACCUGACGGCGAUGAUUGCGUGCUUGAAUCCCUGUUCAAAACAAGGAGUGAAGGCAUGGUAGAAGGUGAUGCAUCAGAAAGUAUAAGGGUUCCAGCAGAAUAAUAAGCUGCCUCAACUUUCAGGGAGAGAUCCUCAUUCUGAGGUCUACCAGCAAGAGCCAUGGCUCCAAAGGUGAGACCACCACUAACACCCCAAGGAGGAGCAGGCCUUGUAGUGACAACCUUUAAACAGCUAGGCUUGUGGUGGUUGGUGUUGAACCCAGUCAAGCUUCCACUAGAAGGAGAGGUAGAUAGGUACAUCCUUCUGCCAUCAGAUAAAACAGCAACAAGAUGUAGCCACUUGGAUUCAAGUGUAGAUAAAGGUGAGAUGCAAACAAUAGAUGGCUUUGGAGAUCGACUUGAGACUCUUGACCCUGUGGAUUGUCUAGCACCAUAAUGUGCAUCCCUCUGAUUGACAAGAUUUCUUUCUUCAGCUACUUUCUUUAAUGGGCCAUCACCAUUUGGUCCUAGAACAUAAACUUGUAGCUUCAUCUCUUCAGUUCGUGCAUACAAUAUUUGUCUCUCGUUGUCGAAAACCAUUUCAACAAUGGGGUCAACAGCUCCAAAAUUGAAUACAUUUGGUAUAACCCAUCUGCAAAUAACAGCUAAUAUUAAUUUACUAAGGAAUUAGCAAAGAAAUGUUUAGCUAUAAAAAAUCAGGUAACUUUAUAUACUGUUUAGGAAAUGUACAAACAAUUCUACAAUUAAAAAAAUAAUUUGCAAUCAAGCAUGACCUGUAUAUCUAAAACGAUUAAGAAAACAAAAUGUACCUUGAAAUUACACUUCCUAAACCAGCAGUGAUGCAGAUUUUUCUGCACCGUUUUUGCCAUCCAGAACCAGUUGAAUACAGAAUCUCAUAUAUGUGGCCAUCCCGACCAGCGAGGAAAAUGCGGCCCUUAUCAGUACAUGCUACACAAGUCAUUGUAACCCCAUCAGAAGGUAUUGUAUGCUCUGGCAAUGGCUGCAAUGUAACUUCUGCAAAUGGAUCUGAACCAUCUGCUCCUCCAGAGCAGCAUACUCCUACUAAAAUUAACUGAUAAAAAGAGCAAGGCAAGAAUAUUAAAGAAUAGUAUAUAAAAAACCUUAUUGACUGAGCCAAAAUUACAAAAUCUCCAACUUCUUAGUAACAUGAACUGGAGUAGAAAUGAAGGGAUAAAUAAUUCAGAAAGCUAACCAAACUACUUAUUAUCAUUAUCAAUGCCACUGGAAAAGUUUAGGGAAAACAGCUGCUUUUUGCCAUCACCGGGCAACCAGCAAGCCAAGAAGAUACAAUUCAACCAUCCACAUAGAGAUAACCAAAUAAAAUCAAGUUGAAAAAGUUGAUCAACAAUUUAGAAAUGUUCAAUUAAAACAUUCAAGAAAGAAAUAAGAUAUUGCUAAGGUAAACAUAAGCAAUUUAACACAUAACAAAAAGAAUUAGUUCAUAAAUACAAUAUUCAAUUCCACACAUCCUUGGAAAAUCUCUAAAUUAAAAUGGUUAAUACCUCAACAGGUGUCGCUAAAACUAAAAGAUAUUGGAUAGCUUCAACAAAAACUCCAGGUUUUGAUUUUGCAAGACCAACUGCACAAAUAGCUUGUUCUUCCCCACUAAAUUCAGGACAUUGGCCAUCCCUGUGGAAGCAACAAUGUUAGGUUAGAAGUACUGCAGCACAUGUAAAUAUGAGUUCCGCUAAAUAGCUCUAAAGGUUUUAAAUGAGAACACAGCAACAAUUAAAACAAAAUUUAGCCCCGUUAGAUUAUUCCUUACCAAUUUAUUGUAGAUUAACAAUUAAACAGACAAAAUAAUUAUAAAACAGAAAUUGUAGUACAAAAAAGAGAGUUCAAACAAAAACUUAAAGAAAUUAAAUCCAUAGAAAUCUUAUCUUCAAACAUCUAGCACCCUUAAACCUUUUCUAACAGCUUAGUCAAAAACAUUGUCCCAGUAACAUUCAUACACCUAUCAGGCUACUGCUGAAACUAGAAGCAGAGACUAUUGCAAAGAACCAGCGAAUAACACGUAAUAAGAAUUCAUGCAAUAGUCUGUGAGGGCUCAUGCCACAAAUGUAAAGCAAUGAAAAUGUGAAAGAAAAAAAAGGGGGAAAUAAUAUAUUUUUUUAAAAAUUUAAUAUGGUCGCAGAGAGAGAGUAGAUCACUGAUAAAUAUGAAGUCCUUUCAUUGCUUGAAUGUCUGCCAAGUAAAAAAUGCAGAAGGAAACUCCAUACAAAAGAAAAGCCGGAAAGACAUCUCUCAUUCAAAAAUGAGUAAGGGAAAUGCCUAAUCCUGUAUCUAAACUUACUUGUCAUCAUAGAACUUACCACUUAUCAAAACGCCAAAGAAACAAUGAAUUGUCCACAGAUGCCCAUGCCCUUCGUAUUUCAGGAAAUAUUCCACAAAAAGCAGUUCCUUCCCCACCAGCUGCAUUGUAUCUUUCAAUGAGCACGGGAGGCAACUCCCAGGUAUUCACCACCUCAACUAAAGGGGGCCACUGAAAUGACAUUAAAUAAUGCAAUUAGUCGGAGAGAGUAAAACUGAACCACAACCUCAUUAAUAUGCUAACAGACACACCCAUGGUUUUAAAAAAAGUCUGCAGCCGCAGUGUUGUUAAAUGGCAGCACCAUGGUGGAAUGGCAUGACAGAUUUUUUGCCAACCGCCAUAGGCAAUUUGUGAAUGGAGGCCAGCUAUGGUAGCGCCAUAGGCCGCAAUGACAUGUUUAUAUGGUGGAAUUUUGGCUUUCUGCCAUUGAUGACACUGCGCAACUGUGAUUUUGACUGCAAAGUCAAGGUUUUUCAAGAGCCCACAACCGUAAUUGUGGCCACAUUUGCCCGCAAUUUCCUACAAUAUCAAGACACGCAACAAAACCAUGACUGCUAUUUAAAACCUUGGACACACCCUUUAUCUAGAAUCCCUAUUGUCGUUUUGAUAUUCCCCUCCUCCAUAAUAUCUCCAAAUAUCAAUCAGCCAUUCCAUUCUAAAAUCAACAAUUAGCCAUUUCCUUCUUUUCCCCAAUUUCCCACAGGUGUCCUUUGUAGGAGGCAUUGGGCACUAAAUGUAAGCGCCUCUCCCACGUGUUUGAACCUUCCCAAACAAAUAUGACUUUUCAUGUGAAGCGAAAAUAAAAUUUAGCACAAUUCUACACUAAUAAUAAAUGUUGAAUUUGGUUUUCCCCAUCCCAAACAUUCAUUCCGGGCACGCACACCAUAGGGAUCCCGAUGCUGAAUAACUAAAAUUUAGCACACAAACGAGAGAAACGAGUUUUAAUUAUUCUCGGGUGCUAAAUGUAAAGGCCUCUGCCUCAUUUGUAUUAAUCAAACGGAUUUAUUUUUUUUUAAAAAAAACUAAGAAAUGUUGGUGAAAAGUGUAAUCAAGCAAGCCCUAAAACUACAAUUACGGAGCGUGGAUAGUUGAACACAACAAGAAGAAUAAUAAGAACAAGUCGAAACCCUUUGAUUUUGGGGGUGAUAUGCUACCUCUCGGGGGUGAGUGGAAUAAGGGUGGCUAGCGUAUCUGGAAGCUUCUAGAGCUUCUUCGAGGUCGAGCUGAGACGAAACUUCGCGACCAAUGCGAUCGCUGACAACAAGCCCCGCAUUCGUGACAUCACGCAUCACAAUCUCGUCUUCCCACGACAUUCCGGAAUGAAAUUGAAGAAGCCCUCUUUCUCGUUCUUUCGUGGCUUUCCCGAUAAACAAAACGCUAAAUAAUGCAAAUUGAAAUAGGCGGAAGAGAGGGGAGAAAGGAGUCUCGUGGUGUAGAAUGGAACUGAGAAGUGUGAGAACAGAUGGCGAUGUAGGGUUUUGGGGGGGCUUUCGUAAAUUGAUAGUGGCGGGCAAACACUUUCGUUUUCCGACCACUACAAAAUAAAUAAAUAAAUAUAGGUUUAUUAAGUAAGUAUUUACUCAUGAAAGAAACCUAGGACUAGUUGUUGUUCAUUCCUCUCUUUUUCUUCUACUUUUCUCACCAUGGUAAUUGAUAAUACUUAUUUUACUAACUUUGUUUGUAGGGCUUACCCGUUGCUUUAAAGAGUCCUGUCUAGUU